GACGAACCGAGCGAACGUUGUUCGGAAUCACUGGGCUUAAAGGGCGCGUAGGCGGGUUCGCAAGUCUGUGGUGAAAUCCUCCGGCUCAACCGGAGAACUGCCUCGGAAACUGCGAGUCUCGAGGGUGGCAGGGGUAUGCGGAACUAUCGGUGGAGCGGUGAAAUGCGUUGAUAUCGAUAGGAACUCCGGUGGCGAAGGCGGCAUACUGGUCCACUUCUGACGCUGAGGCGCGAAAGCCAGGGGAGCAAACGGG
rnacentral:rRNA from 1 species